UGUAUGCAUAUAAGUAUGACAUUUAGUUUGUAUGUGUAAUACUUCCUUGUCUUAUAUACAUAUAGGUACAUUGCAGAAGAGAAACAAAGGGGAGGAGAGAGAGAUAACAGAGAUCUAUUCGGCCAAGAGAGAGAGAUGAGAAGGAGGAGGAGCAGGAGGAGGAGCAGAAAAGUGUAAGAUCCGAGCUGGAGAAGAAAAUAAGGAAAGGAAAUAAUAAAAGAAAAAGUGAUCUGGAGAAAAAACUAGGAAAAAAACUUAAAGCAAGGUGUUAGAAGAGGUUAUCAAGCAAGGGAUAACUAUAAGGUGACCGUGAAGUGAUCGAUAAUUUUAGGUAACCAUGGAAUUCCUCGUUCAGCCAUGCAUGGUGCCAUGGACUCUGUAGCAGAAUUCUUCAACUUUCCUAGUGAGGAGAAGAUGCAUCUCUUGUCUAGAAUGUUCAUCAACCGGUGAGGUAUGGCACGAGUUUGAAUCAUGUUAAUGACAAAGUUCGUAACUGGAGAGGAUUCAUCAAGCACUACUCUUAUCGGAUCUCAAUUUGGAUUGAUCUUUGGCCUUCAAGUCCCUCAAG